rnacentral:rRNA from 1 species
AGAUAUAUGGAAGAACACCAGUGGCGAAGGCGGCUGUCUGGUCUGUAACUGACGCUGAGGCUCGAAAGUAUGGGUAGCAAACAGGAUUAGAUACCCUGGUAGUCCAUACCGUAAACGAUGAAUGCUAAGUGUUGGAGGGUUUCCCCCUUCAGUGCUGCAGCUAACGCAUUAAGCAUUCCGCCUGGGGAGUACGGCCGCAAGGCUGAAACUCAAAGGAAUUGACGGGGGCCCGCACAAGCGGUGGAGCAUGUGGUUUAAUUCGAAGCUACGCGAAGAACCUUACCAGGUCUUGACAUACUAUGCAAAUCUAAGAGAUUAGACGUUCCCUUCGGGGACAUGGAUACAGGUGGUGCAUGGUUGUCGUCAGCUCGUGUCGUGAGAUGUUGGGUUAAGUCCCGCAACGAGCGCAACCCUUAUUAUCAGUUGCCAGCAUUAAGUUGGGCACUCUGGUGAGACUGCCGGUGACAAACCGGAGGAAGGUGGGGAUGACGUCAAAUCAUCAUGCCCCUUAUGACCUGGGCUACACACGUGCUACAAUGGAUGGUACAACGAGUUGCGAACUCGCGAGAGUAAGCUAAUCUCUUAAAGCCAUUCUCAGUUCGGAUUGUAGGCUGCAACUCGCCUACAUGAAGUCGGAAUCGCUAGUAAUCGCGGAUCAGCAUGCCGCGGUGAAUACGUUCCCGGGCCUUGUACACACCGCCCGUCACACCAUGAGAGUUUGUAACACCCAAAGUCGGUGGGGUAACCUUUAGGAACCAGCCGCCUAAGGUGGGACAGAUGAUUAGGGUGAAGUCGUAACAAGGUAACCA